rnacentral:rRNA from 1 species
GGACUACUGGGGUAUCUAAUCCUGUUUGCUCCCCACGCUUUCGCGCCUCAGCGUCAGUAACGGGCCAGUGUGUCGCCUUCGCCACUGGUGUUCUUCCGAAUAUCUACGAAUUUCACCUCUACACUCGGAGUUCCACACACCUCUCCCGUACUCAAGAUGACCAGUAUCGAAGGCAGUUCCGAGGUUGAGCCCCGGGCUUUCACCCCCGACUUAGUCAUCCGCCUACGCGCCCUUUACGCCCAGUAAUUCCGAGCAACGCUAGCCCCCUUCGUAUUACCGCGGCUGCUGGCAC